UGGCGUGGGCUGCGGCCUCUUCCCGUUUCUUCCCGCCUCCCCGAGCUUUUAAAGGCCUGAAGUGGGUUCUGUCCUCUCAGGCCGGGAGUUUCCUACUCUGGGGGCGCUUCUCGCAGAACUCACCCACGCAAACUCCCCUCAGCCGCUGGUGGAAAAGGAGACUGAGGUGCAGUAAAAGGAAGUGAUUUUCGAAGAACACACUGGUGAUAAGAGGAGUCAGCAGAGUGGAGUGCUCAGGGCAGAGGAACCGAAGUUAGGAUUUCCCACUCAGAGUGUCCUUGGAUGAUCUAAGUCACAACCCGUCUCUGCUCUUCAGUUUUCUUACCUGUGAAGUGAGAGGAUUCAACAA